rnacentral:rRNA from 1 species
ACGAACGCUGGCGGCGUGCUUAACACAUGCAAGUCGAGCGGUAAGGCCCUUUCGGGGGUACACGAGCGGCGAACGGGUGAGUAACACGUGGGUGACCUGCCCUUAGCUCUGGGAUAAGCCUGGGAAACUGGGUCUAAUACCGGAUAUGACUCCAUGACGCAUGUUGUGGGGUGGAAAGCCUUGUGCGGCUAGGGAUGGGCCCGCGGCCUAUCAGCUUGUUGGUGGGGUGAUGGCCACCAAGGCGACGACGGGUAGCCGGCCUGAGAGGGCGACCGGCCACACUGGGACUGAGACACGGCCCAGACUCCUACGGGAGGCAGCAGUGGGGAAUCUUGCGCAAUGGGCGAAAGCCUGACGCAGCGACGCCGCGUGGGGAUGACGGCCUCGG